rnacentral:piRNA from 1 species
UGGGCAAAACAUGUGCAGUUGAUUCUAGCU